rnacentral:lncRNA from 1 species
AACGAAAAGAAAGGUAAGUGACUGUUUAGGAACAUGGAAAUGCACGGACUAACUGUUGGGACUAACAUCUGUGUCUCUUGUCUUAUAAGUCAACACUGAUAAUUGUAACUAUCACAAUUCCACUCCUACCUAAUAAGUUCUUUCUAUAUAUCAGUUUAUUUAUUUUCUUCUUUCUUAUUCCUUUCAGAUAUCUAUCAAAUUGAUUAUUUCUCAAUAACUUUCAACUUAUUCUAUAUAUUUUUACAUAAAUUUCAAAACACAUCUACACAGUGUGGGUAAAAAAAUUUCAUGCAGAAACGCCCAAUUAUUAAAUGUGUGCUCCAAAUGAAACUUCAAAAAUUACGACACUUCACUACAAACUCAAUAGGAAACAAAUCCUGACCUGUUGUUGUGGCAAUUAAGCACUACGAAUCAGCCAACACCACUUCACUGCAACGACCUCGACACGCGAACCCCCAACAACCCCCACCCCCGUUGCAACACUCAGAAGGACCA